AUUCUUGCAGAACAACAAGAUCCGUGUGAUCUCACCCAAGGCAUUUGCUGGACUUUCUCAGCUUAGGAUGCUGUUCCUCAGUCACAACAGGAUCUCCCAGCUGCUGCCCCGCACGUUUGAGGACCUGAACCGCCUUGAGUGGCUGUGAGCUCCCCGCUGCUCCUCGUGUGCAUCGUGACCCUAUUUCCUUGGGGGUGGCAGUCCAAAGCCCUGUGAGGGAUAUGGGGUGGAACAGGGAUGCUGGGCUCAUGGCUCUGCGGUGGGAGCCAAGCACUUCUCUCCUGCAGGGAAGAAGCUGCUCCUGCUGGGUUGCAGAGGGCAGUGGGCAUGCACAGUGCUGGGCAUGGUGCAGGGCACUCUCAGGACCACAGCUCUGUGUGAGACUUUCCCCGUGUGCAGUCAGUUUGCAGGUCCAACCCCCCUCCAAAAGUGCUUAAACAAAAAGGACAGCCUGUACCAUUCGGCCCUGUUUACUCUCUAAGGCUGCAUUUGGUCAGAGCUGGGGUGCAGAGGCUGCUCUGCACGGUGCCCCCCCCCCAGCACGCAGGGCUGCUCCCAGCUUCCCUCCCGAUGUGCCACAGGACCGGCUCUGCCGUCCCUUAAAUCAAAGAGGGAAGCAGAACAACGAGCAGCUCAUGCAGGGUGGUCUGUGGAGCACACAAACCAGAGGACUUCAGAGAAGUCAGGCACAGCUCUGAAUUCCCUGAAUGGUGUUUAAUUUAUCAUUGUUUCACAGCAGAAGAGAGGAAAAAUCCAGCAGAGCCUGACUGUGAGGGAAUCCAGGCUCUGCAGCUGGAUCUAACGCUUCAGCUUGGCCAGGAGCUAAGGGGAGGGGAUGGGAUGUGGGGCAGCCCCCAGCCCGGGGAUGGGGCCGUGGCUCCCAGCGCUCUGUGCUCUGCCAGAGCCCCUCCCCGCUUUCACCUCUCCUUCCUCCCACCGCCAGGAUACUGGACAACAACAGGAUUGCCCGGAUCGCCCCUGCUACUUUCUCAGGGCUGAGGUCGCUGUACUUCCUGUACAUGCUGAACAACUCCCUGGCCAAGAUACCUGAUGGUUCCCUCUGCGUGGAGACACCAAAGCUGAGCUGGCUGUGAGUACCUGACUGGGGCAGCUGGGUGCUGUUCCUGGGGUGCUGGGAUGGGGCUGGGGAAGCAGCAGUGUGAUUGCGUUCCCUGCAGGGAGCUGGAAGGGAACAGGAUCCGGGCGGUGCGUGGGGCCAUCUUCCAGCAGUGCCGUGAGCUCACUGUGCUGUGAGUACUUUAGGGAUCCCCCUUCCCACCGUGGGUGCAUGGAGGUGGGGAUGGGCAGCGCUCAGCUCUGGGCUGUGUCCCAGGUGAAUGGUUCCACUGUUUCUGUAAGCAGCAUUGGUACUGCAGUCAGCUUUGCAGACUUGGCCAGCAGAGCUUCCCAGAGCCUUUUGUAUGGCUGGAUACCCAGCGGGGCAGGGAGCUACAGGCGGGGGCUGCUGUGAUCCACGGGGUCAG
rnacentral:lncRNA from 1 species